GAUGAACGCUAGCGACAGGCUUAACACAUGCAAGUCGAGGGGCAGCAUAGAAGUAGCAAUACUUUGGUGGCGACCGGCGCACGGGUGAGUAACGCGUAUGCAACCUACCUAUCAGAGGGGAAUAACCCGGCGAAAGUCGGACUAAUACCGCAUAAAACAGGGGCACCGCAUGGUGAUAUUUGUUAAAGAAAUUCGCUGAUAGAUGGGCAUGCGUUCCAUUAGGUAGUUGGUGAGGUAACGGCUCACCAAGCCGACGAUGGAUAGGGGAACUGAGAGGUUGGUCCCCCACACUGGUACUGAGACACGGACCAGACUCCUACGGGAGGCAGCAGUGAGGAAUAUUGGUCAAUGGGCGGGAGCCUGAACCAGCCAAGUCGCGUGAAGGAAGAAGGAUCUAUGGUUCGUAAACUUCUUUUGCAGGGGAAUAAAGUGCAGGACGUGUCCUGUUUUGUAUGUACCCUGAGAAUAAGGAUCGGCUAACUCCGUGCCAGCAGCCGCCGUAA
rnacentral:rRNA from 1 species